UAGAGACAGGCGGCGUUGGAAGCGGAGGAACCCAGUGCCCUGGGCGGGAUAACAACGCUCCUGGUGCCCCCGAAGAGGCCAGGAGGCGUAGUCCCGUAUUCACUAGGCAAACGGCUGCCGAAGCGCUUAAGUGCCAAGUAUUGUGCCAGCUUCUGGCGACUCAGAGGAAUAAGGCCUGGCCUUUGUUGCUUGUGGGGGAGGAAGGAAAAUAAACAAGACCAUGACUGAAGCCAGAGCUGAUGAUGGACAACCGCCUUCCAUGUAAAGAUAUCCACGCACCACGCAGGAAAUGCGCGUGAAUACGGUGGGCUGGGGAGACUCUGGAAGGGGAACUGCUCUUGCCUAGCCUUCCUUCUUUGAUGCCUUCGCACAACGACGUGGGAGCUCUGUGGCCUGACCUUCCAGUUGUUCCAGAAGACAGAAAUGCAGGACCAGAUGCUGCUGGAGGCAACCACAUGAGCCGGUGCAGGCCCCGCCAAGCUCCAGCACUGUGUCUUCUCGAAAGACCCUUGCCCCUGGUCAGCAUGUUUUUCUGGAUGACUCCACAGACAUGAGUCUGAAGGGUGCCACACUUGGUUAUCACUACGGCGUGCUGCAUUUUUCCGGAGGGAAGUCGUGAGUAAACGUUUUGCAAAUCAAGGCAAUGUUCCUAGGAACCUCCAGGACCAUUUCAGAGAGGCUUCAUCUCCAUUUCUGACUGGUCUGUAGUUGGCAGCACUUCUUACCAUAGCAUUUCUGUAAAGGUAGGUAAUGAGCUGUAAAGAAACUCUUACAUGCACCGUGGGAGCACACACUUAGAGAAAUCCUUCUUCUGAAAAACAAUCAUUUUUCUCUGUUCCUUCCUCUGGCCCUAGAAGUUGGGGUUCCCCAAGCAGCAGGCCUUGAGGUAAGGGUUUAUGUGCAAAUGGCUUAAAUGCCGGGAAACACGGGCAGUGGGGUGGGCAGUAAUAGAGGGAAGGAAAGGAAGUCAAUUCAAGCAAGGACAUGGAGGUCCUGCUGGGAGCCUCUGGGAGGCAGUGAGAAGGCACGCCUCAGCUUCGUACUGCCUGCAGGUGUGAGGGCCUGGGCUUUUUAUCCAUGGUGGUGCCCGUGGUCAUUAGGUGAGGGCUGCAUUCAGGGAAGGAGGUGUUAAUUUCCCAGCCCUUCUAGCUUCUACAGGGGCAGCGGCUGCUGCAAUCCGAGAAAGCUCUUGGACAGUAAGUGCUGGCAGUUGGAAGCCAAGCCAAAUGUGAAUGGCUGAAAUGUAAACGACUCUGGACAGGACACCAGCAUAUGUGCCAUGCUUAGCUUCUCGAGCACAUGUGAGGAGGUGGGGGCUCUCUGUAGCCCCUGAGCAUCCCUAAAACAACUAUUCCUUACUGGUGUCUUCUGUAUGAAUUAUCUGCCAAUCAAAGAUUUUGGGGGUGCUGGCUGGCUCUGUCAGUAGAGCAUGGGACUCUUGAUGUUGGGGUCAUGAGUUCAAACCCCAUGUUUGGUGUAGAGUUUUUUUAAAAAGGUUUUUAGAGAUUAUUAGGAAAGUAAA